CAGACCUCUAAUCGGAAAAGACUACCUGCUGAGUUU
rnacentral:rRNA from 1 species